rnacentral:rRNA from 1 species
UCCAAACUACUGAGCUAGAGUACGGUAGAGGGGUGGUGGAAUUUCCUGUGUAGCGGUGAAAUGCGUAGAUAUAGGAAGGAACACCAGUGGCGAAGGCGACCACCUGGACUGAUACUGACACUGAGGUGCGAAAGCGUGGGGAGCAAACAAGGAUUAGAUACCCUGGUAGUCCACGCCGUAAACGAUGUCGACUAGCCGUUUGGGAUCCUUGAGAUCUUUAGUGGCGCACUAACGCGAUAAGUCGACCGCCUGGGGAGUACGGCCGCAAGGUUAAAACUCAAAUGAAUUGACGGGGGCCCGCACAAGCGGUGGAGCAUGUGGUUUAAAUUCGAAGCAACGCGAAGAACCUUACCUGGCCUUGACAUGCUGAGAACUUUCCAGAGAUGGAUUGGUGCCUUCGGGAACUCAGACACAGGUGCUGCAUGGCUGUCGUCAGCUCGUGUCGUGAGAUGUUGGGUUAAGUCCCGUAACGAGCGCAACCCUUGUCCUUAGUUACCAGCACCUCGGGUGGGCACUCUAAGGAGACUGCCCGGUGACAAACCGGAGGAAGGUGGGGAUGACGUCAAGUCAUCAUUGGCCUUACGGCCAGGGCUACACACGUGCUACAAUGGUCGGUACAAAGGGUUGCCAAGCCGCGAGGUGGAGCUAAUCCCAUAAAACCGAUCGUAGUCCGGAUCGCAGUCUGCAACUCGACUGCGUGAAGUCGGAAUCGCUAGUAAUCGUGAAUCAGAAUGUCACGGUGAAUACGUUCCCGGGCCUUGUACACACCGCCCGUCACACCAUGGGAGUGGGUUGCUCCAGAAGUAGCUAGUCUAACGCAA